AGUCCAGAUGUCAGUAUUUAAAGCUGAGAGCUGGUGCUGUCAGAGAAAGAGGCACAACACCUGUGCAGAUGAUGAACACCUGCCAUGCUCACAAAGCUCAAGCAAAACACUGAGCCUCAUGUGCUUUGACUAACCCUGCGGAGAGUGUCCAUGUGAUUUACAAGCGGAUCAUGCAAGACUGCAGCAUCAGCCGUGACCAGAAUGAUCUCAACGGACACACACACAACCAGCAUCUGUCCUGAGAGCUCUUUACGCCGCAGAGCUGGACCUCUGGCCGGUGCGGUUGAGGGGGUUCUGGCACCUUUCCGCAGCACCUGAGCUCUGUGACACAGCUGCUAAUUACAGAAGUGCGAGACACAUGGCCGCGGCGCACACUCUCUGAUCUCUCUCUCCCGUUCCCUAAUCAGCAAUCAAGAGCUCCAAACGUUCCUCCACUUCAGAUGAUCCCAGAUGCUCCAAACAUUUCCACCAAUUUGCUGGGCAGCGUUUUGGCUGUGAUUCUCAUCAAAACAUGCAUGUUCUGUUACUGUUCUGUUAAUCGAGCUCAGCACCUAGACUGAUAUUCUGAUAUUCUUUUAUAAUCAAUAAAAUGAAAUGAACAUGG